rnacentral:rRNA from 1 species
UACGGAGGGUGCAAGCGUUAUCCGGAUUCACUGGGUUUAAAGGGUGCGUAGGCGGAUAGGUAAGUCCCGUGGUGAAAUCCUGCAGCUUAACUGCAGAACUGCCAUGGAUACUAUUUAUCUUGAAUAUCGUGGAGGUUAGCGGAAUAUGUCAUGUAGCGGUGAAAUGCUUAGAUAUGACAUAGAACACCCAUUGCGAAGGCAGCUAACUACGCGAUAAUUGACGCUGAUGCACGAAAGCGUGGGGAUCAAACAGG